rnacentral:lncRNA from 1 species
CUAAGUGCAUUAUUGUCAAAAGUGACUGUUUAUUAAAAAUUACAUAUUUUCUGUAAUGGCCUUGUUUUUCUGUAAUGGCCCUGUUUUUUUCUGUAAUGGCCCUGUUUUUCUGUAAUGGCCCUGUUUUUUCUGUAAUGGCCCUGUUUUACUGUAAUGGCCUGGUUUUUUCUGUAACGGCCCUGUAUUAAUGCCCAGUUUGUCUAAGUUGUAAAGAGUAUAAUACCUUUUUGUAUUUUAUUUAAUUUAGUAACCAGCAAC